rnacentral:rRNA from 1 species
UACGUAGGGUGCGAGCGUUAAUCGGAAUUACUGGGCGUAAAGCGUGCGCAGGCGGUUCGUUGUGUCGGCGGUGAAAGCCCCGGGCUCAACCUGGGAAUGGCAGUGGAUACUGGACAGCUAGAGUGCGGUAGAGGGUAGUGGAAUUCCCGGUGUAGCAGUGAAAUGCGUAGAGAUCGGGAGGAACACCAGUGGCGAAGGCGGCUACCUGGACCAGCACUGACACUGAAGCACGAAAGCGUGGGGAGCAAACAGG